rnacentral:rRNA from 1 species
UACGUAGGGCGCAAGCGUUGUCCGGAAUUAUUGGGCGAAAGAGCUCGUAGGCGGUUUGUCGCGUCUGCCGUGAAAACCCGAGGCUUAACCUCGUGGCUUGCGGUGGAUACGGGCAGGCUAGAGUUCGGCAGGGGAGACUGGAAUUCCUGGUGUAGCGGUGAAAUGCGCAGAUAUCAGGAGGAACACCGGUGGCGAAGGCGGGUCUCUGGGCCGAUACUGACGCUGAGGAGCGAAAGCGUGGGGAGCGAACAGG